rnacentral:lncRNA from 1 species
CUACAGGGUGCGGUCCUGGCUCUUGUGUAAGAAUUCUGACUGCACUAACUAUGCCUAGGAAGGAAAGGAGUUGUUGUUUUGUAAGAGAUUGAGGUUUGGGAGAUUAAUAGGACACGAUCAGCAGGGAAAGCACGUAUGUUUUUAUGAGAAUUAUGCCGAGAUAGGUAACAGAUGAGGAUGAAAUUUGGGCUUGACUGAAGUAAUGGGGGCUGUCUAUGAAGCCUUGUGGCAGUACAGCCUAGGUAAUUUGCUGAGCCUAAUAGGUGUCAGGGUCAGUCCAAGUGAAAGAAAAGAGAGGCUGGGACGAGGGGUGCAGGGGAAUAGUGAAAAAAGCAUCUUUAAGAUCAAGCACGGAAUAGUGAGUGGUGGAGGAAGGUAUUGAGGAUAGGAGAGUAUAUGGGUUGGGCACCACAGGGGGGAUAGGCAAAACAAUUUGGUUGAUAAGGCACAGAUCCUGAACUAACUUGUAAGGCUUGUCUGGUUUUAGGACAGGUAAAAUGGGGGAAUUGUAAGGAGAGUUUAUAGGCUUUAAAAGGCCAUGCUGUAGCAGGCGAGUGAUAACAGGUUUAAUCUUUUUAAAGCGUGCUGUGGGAUGGGAUAUUGGCAUUGAGUGGGGUAAGGGUGAUUAGGUUUUAAUGAGAUGGUAAGGGGUGCAUGAUUGGUAGCCAAGGAGGGAGUAGAGGUAUCUUAUACUUGUGGGUUAAGGUGGGGGGAUACAAGAGGAGGACGCAAAGGAGGCUUUGAAUUGGGAAGAAGGGUGGCAAUGAGAUACAGCUGUAGUCCAGGAAUAGUCAGGGAAGCAGAUAAUUUAGUUAAAGUGUCUCAGCCUAAUAAGGGAACUGGGCAGGUGGGGAUAAUGAAAAAGGAGUGCUUAAAAGAGUAUUGUCUAAGUUGGCACCAGAGUUGGGGAGUUUUAGGAGGUUUAGAAGCCUGGCCGUCAAUACCCACAACAGUUAUGGAGGCAAGGGAAACAGGUCCUUGAAAAGAAGAUAAUGUGGAGUGGGUAGCCUCCGUAUUGAUUAAGAAGGGGACGGGCUUACCUUCCACCGUGAGAGUUACCUGAAGCUCGGCGUCCGUGAUGGUCUAGGGGGCUUCCAAGGUGAUUGGGCAGUGUCAUCUUCAGCCGCUAAGCCGAGAAGAUCUGGGAAGGAGUCAGUCAGCCUUGGGCCAGAGUUCCAGGGGUUCUGGGAGUGGCUGUCAGGUGAGUUGAACAGUCCGAUUUUCAGUGGGGUCCCACACAGAUGGGACGUGGCUUAGGAGGAAUCCCAGGCUGCGGGCAUUCCUUGGCCCAGUGGCCAGAUUUCUGGCAUGUGUAGCAAGCUCCUGGGGGAGGAGGUUCUGGAGGAAUACCUGGCCACUGCGGUUCAGGCAUUUGGAAGUUCUUGUGUGCUGGAGAUGUGGCUGGGGUUUGUCUCACAGUGGAGGCAAGGAAUUGCAACUGUUUUCUGUUAUUGUACACCUUGAAGGGUGAAAGUUCACCGGGGACCACCUGUGGUUCUGAAUUCAGGUACUUUCCUGCCCCAUUUCCCUCAGAGUGACCAUCAGCCUAGAGGCAGCAAAACUGUGCUGUUGGACAGAGGAGCAGUUGCCCGAGGUGACCCAGGUGAGCCAUGGAGGUUCGUGAGUCACUCAGCAGAGCUAGCAGAAAACUGUGAAAAUGGGUCUGAGCUAGGCAUGACAAUUCCCUCAAGGACGCACUGUUCAGAACUGCACGCAUCAGAAGGAAAACCAAAGACACAACAUGUUACGUGAAUUCCCCGAAAUGAGAAAGGCUGAGUAACUUCCUUGAGAAACUGCCACCUGGAAUUAGGAGUUAACCUAGUCUCCAUGGACACCCAAUUUCUUAAGGAAUUUGAGUUGAGCCACUCCUGGAUAGACAAAGGCGCCUCCCAGGCACUGAGGCUUGGUUUCCUCUUCCGGAAUCACUGAUUUGCCAUUGGAAUGUUAUGAGCUCAUGGAAGCAGGUGGCAGGGGAGGAGCGGAGGCCACUGGACAGCACAGCGGAGGUUGCAGUGAGCUGAGAUCACGCCAUUGCACUCCAGCCUAGGCAACAAGAGCGAAACUCCAUCUCAAGGAAACAAACAAACAAACUCCAAAACCAACCAACCAACCAAACAAAAAACCAAAGGAGUCAAAAAGUGGAGCCCAGUUCCUAGAGAAUUUGGAUCAUAAAGCUUUAGCUAAUAUGAGGAAACCCUGAUGCUCUUAUUUACCUCUGUGCAUCUCAGCAGUCCUUGUCAUGCUACUCCUGUUAAUUUCUCUUCAGAUGUAAAAACAGAUUUUCCAAGAUUUCCCCCACUUCUCUGCUUUCUUCUAAAAAACAUGUAUGUUUGGUGGUCUCCAGUUCUCUUUUGGAACUGUACUUCAGUUAAUCUUGUUCAUGGCAGAUCUGAGAGCUCCUGCCUGUUGCCAAUGACUGUGACUCGCUUGGCAGAAAGGAAAGCUGAUCUCAGAGCGCUUCAGCUGCACCACAGAUAAUGUGCUCAAGUUAAAAGCAAUGGAAAGGUCAUAACAUGUCAUAUCUGGAGCUGGAAUGUUUCACAAUUUAUUGAGGAUUACUUAUUUUAUUUUAUUUUUUUCUCCAUAAGCACAAAUAUUGCCAAGAAGAGUAUGAGCUACAAUUUUAUGUCAUGGAUAAAUUAUUUCUUCCACAUCGCAAUUAAUUUUUAUUUAAUUCAUUUUCAUUCAUUAAUUUAUUCAUUACACAAGUAUUUCUUGAGUUCCUACUAUGUGCCAAGCUCAACUGAGUUGGUUGAUGGAAAAUAUGCCAUCUUGUGCUUUUGGCCAUGGACUCUGUAAUUUAGUACUUUCUAGUUCUCUUCGCCCAUUUCAGUAGAUAGUCUCAUUUAAUUUUGUAUUUAUCACAAAGUGUAUUGUUAAAAUCUGAAUUCACUUAUAUGUUUCUAAAGCAAUAGUGAUAAUAGUUACUAUAAUCAUAAGAUGUCAAGCUGAUUUAAUAUAUUUAAAGAUCAACUUGCUAACCAAUUUCAAUGCCAACAUACUUUAAAUCACUGAUAUAAAAUGGUUGUAGGAGACAAGAAAAAUUUAAAAAGAGGGAUAGGAAACUUAGGUACACUGUGCCCAUCAGUGACCUUGGGAACCUGUUAUAAAAUCUUUUACAUUUUGAAAGGGUGAAAUGAGUGGUUGGAGAGAGACAUUUAAAAAAAAACAUAUGCAGGUAUAACAACACAUUUAGCAAACUAAUUGGGGCCUGUUUGCAGUAAUGAACCAACCUGUUGUCCAUCACGAAUGCACCAGUCAAUGUUGACAAUGGUGACAUUGUGUGUUCCCAGGACUCAGAAGGUUGUGAUGUGAAAAUGAUCCUCCAGUCAGCUCUGUUAGCCUUGAUUCCAAAUUGAACUCUUAGAGAAAUAUUUGGUUAGACCUGAGCUUUCAAAAUAAAGCAAAUGCACUUAAAAAAAUCAAAAUAACUUACAGACAAUGGUUUUACAGAACCAUGUGGAUUAAGUGGAUUUAACUGUAAUUUUAGACAAAAUAAGGUUAGUUUCAGGAGACUUCACAUCAGGAGUUUUAAAAAGUUAAACAAAGCACACCAAUGCAAUGGAAUUCCAUGCUGGCUGCCUGGUGGUAAAACGAAUAAGCAGCUUCCUAGAUCAGCACAGUAAUCAGUGGCCAUUAGGCUAAAAGGAAUCAAAAGAUACAGAGUUCACCUAGAGUUUUUAUCAGCGUUUAGUGGUUUUUGACUGAAAUUACCUUAUAUUAGUAAAAAAAAAAAAAAAAAAAAAAAAGAAAAAAGAAAGAAAAGAAAAAUCCAGAUUUGCAUUAGGUCUUCUAGUGGAAAAUCAAAGCAAGUGUUGAACAAUACAGGUCAGGAAGAAAUAAAACAAAAAAUCUACAAAACAAAAACAGGAUCACUUUGCCGAAAUAAUUCAGAUUAACCACAAAUACCAGCGUCGCUGGGCAAUUACUCCAUUCCAGGCAGUGGCGGUUGGAUCUUUAUGCAUGGCCAGAUUUCUACUGAGUUUAAUAUUUCUCUAACAGCCACGUAAAAUAGACAUUCUUCAGCUAGGAGUUUGAAGGCUCCUUAGUGUAGCCUCGCAAUUGCCCACCCAAUCCUUUCUACCUCUGGGAUGCACAUGACCAGCAGGCCCCGAAAGAUCCACCAUUUCAGCAGCAGUGGGGAGGCAGAGAUAAAAAUGGCUUAGCCUUCUUCUCAGAGGUUAACAGUGUGGCUGAG